rnacentral:misc_RNA from 1 species
AACUUUCAGCAAUGGAUCACUUGGUUCUGGCAUCGAUGAAGAACGCAGCGAAAUGCGAUUAGUAAUGUGAAUUGCAGAAUUCAGUGAAUCAUCGAAUCUUUGAACGCACAUUGCGCCCCCUGGUAUUCCGGGGGGCAUGCCUGUCCGAGCGUCAUUACAACCCUCAAGCUCAGCUUGGUAUUGGGCCCCGCCGACCCGGCGGGCCCUAAAGUCAGUGGCGGUGCCGUCCGGCUCCGAGCGUAGUAAUUCUUCUCGCUCUGGAGGUCCGGUCGUGUGCUCGCCAGCAACCCCCAACUUUUUUCAGGUUGACCUCGGAUCAGGUAGGGAUACCCGCUGAACUUAAGCAUAUCAAUAAGCGGAGGCU